GGUGCAGUGGCCGAGUGGUUAAGGCGCUACGUUUAGGAAUUGAUCCAAACCGUAGUGGGAAACCGCGUGCGUUCGAACCGCACCUGCAUCA
rnacentral:tRNA from 2 species